rnacentral:lncRNA from 1 species
UCUGCAAACAUCUCCAAGUCCCCCACGUCUUUUGCCGAGUACCGCAUUGAGGUGUUCCGCCCUCCCAUGUGGUUCAACGUCACCGCCAAGCCCAACAUCGUGUCCAUUGAUGAGGACACCUGGGACGACGAGGACGGUGUCAACGUGAUGCAGUACGGCGCGCCCUUUGCGCUCACCUACUCCAUGUUCUACGAGAGCGACAAGGUCACGAGCGCUGUGCUGGUGGCGCCCAGCUCCACCACCCACUCCACCAACAUGAACCAGCGCGUGGUGGGUCUUGACUCGGGGCCCCUGUCCUGAAGGCUCGGGAUUUGUUUUGUAGUGCCUUCCCAGCCCUUGAUCUUGCUUAACAGAUGCUCUCUGCAAGCAACACGCGUCGGUGUAGUGGAGCUAUGGAUUACUACUAUGCAUGCUCACUCGCGAACCCCUCCCACCUUGCCCCUCUGAGUGCAGGUUGGCUUGCAAGUCCUGCAACACGACGCCGCCACCCGCCGCCUGAUCGUGUCCGGCCCGCCCCAUAUUAACAUUGCUCCGCCCGGCUGGUACAUGCUGUUCCUGCUGAACGGGGACGUGUACGGCCAGAGUGAGUGGGUACGGCUGCCCGGGGACGCGCCGCGCCUGGACUCCUUCCUUGAGGCCUUCGAUGUAAAAGGCAAAACGAACCACCGCCUAUAAGUUUGUUUGAGCUAAUGUGUUCACUGAUGCCGGUUCAUGCGUGGCGUGUGUUGCUAGGGCUACAGUCAACAGCGCGUGCUAGACUUGCAUGUGUGUGUCCACACCUACUUGCUGUGACAUUACACGCACAUGAGCUUUGAGCGCAUCACAGCAGGCAACAAGCCACGGCACGCACACCUGCAUACGGAUUGCAAACAUUCAUUGGGAAUGGGACUGCGCUACUACUCAACUGGCGCAAGCACAGCUUGAUUCAUUCAUGACAAAGAGUUGGGGGCGGGCUGCCUACACUAUGGUUAGUGGCACCAUCGGAUUGGACCGGUGUGGCCUGCUGCGCAAUUGCGCUGCUGCCUUUCACUAUUGCAAAGGAUGCAUCCCUGGCUAGGCAUCAUGCAUGGAUGGCUGCUGCUUGUGCGCCCUCAUAGCAUGUAUUAGAUGAUUCUUAUAGCGUCACCUUCUGAAUUGAUUAUGUCUCCCUGACCGCCGACGUUUCUGCGCACUAGCUGUACAGCGGCGGUGAGGGUGGAUGGUGGAGGGGGACUGGUGUGCUGUGGCGCAGUGAUGCGUCGUGUAGGGGCGCGGCCAUCAUGGCGAGAGCAAUGGACGCGGGACGCCCCGCGCGCUGUGUGGGCGGGAUGCCUCCCACGACAGCCCAUGAACGAGGGUGCUGCAUACAGUUCAUUGCAGUGACUCCGCAACUUUGUUGGUAGUGUGCGUCCGUUUCCACCAUCGCCUUACUUUAAGCAGAACUAAGCAGACAGUAUAAGGGAAACUUCCAUAAAGGCUACCAGUUAGCCCGGUUAGAGUGUAGCGUACGGUAGCAAAGCGGAGCGGAGCGAGGUCAGGGGCUCAGCAUGGAGGCCGUACACGAUGGCCGAAGCGACUAGUGUUCUCUGCUCUCUGCAGUUCUCUCGGCAUUCUGCCUUCCCUGCAUUUGCAGCUCACACCGCUUCGUUGAGCGGUAUCGCCCUCAGGGGGAGGGGGUACAAAGCUCAUCAGAAUCUUACUCCAUGCUCAAAAUCAUAGAGCUUUAGGAGAGCACUACGCACGUACUUUAAUUUUGUCAGGGAUGGUACCGAAGUUCUGCGCCGGGGGUCGGUCGUCGGCCCGAGGGGUCCGCCGGGUUUCAGGAGCCCAUCCUGGCGGAUUUCAAGCAGAACUAGGGCCAAACGCAGCACCAUGUGGCUCAAGUAUGCAUGUUGUGCCGUAGUAAGCACAAAACAAAGCGUGGAAGGGCCAAGUUGCGCGUCCUGGCGUGGACAUGACGGCGCAUGUCCCCACAUGUCCCCACAUUCGACAUAUGCGGACUGACAUGGCGGGGCUCUCAAGCGCUGGUGCGAAUGAUUUCAUGUUUAGAAGGCUGCUGAUACACGCUGUCCAUACUUCAUAUGGCAGAGAGUUGAACGGGGGUUGGGCUGGGUCGAGGGGACUUCCAGGAUCCCGUGUGACCGAAGUCUCAGAACAGGACCGCCGAUGGCACAGCAUGAUAGCGCUCGAGUCGAUUGGCACCACUUUGGUUAUCAAUGGAGGGGUUGUAAACCUAAACGACACGGUAUUGUCACUGGGGGGGGGGGUCAGUGUCCCCUCAAGGGGGGUCCCGGGGGAUUUCAGGGCAUGGGGUCGGGCACUUUGUUUCCUUAACAGGCCUUAACACCCCCCCCCCCCCCGCACCGCACCGCACGCCCCAGUCAGUUCGUCAGCGACCAGCAACAGAAGCAAAUGGCCCACAGUAGCCCAACACUCGCCAACAGAACGCGGACGCCCAGCCGGCUCAGCAGCCCAAGCAGCAGCUGCCCAUUGGCACUCCCAUUCGCGUGCUUGUGAGGCGCAUUGUGGGCCGCCCGGGCGCGCGGGCAGUGUAAGUGCCCUUGGCUGUUUGCCCCAGGCCGGUCCGCGCUGUCAGCAUUCUGUUCCGUCAGCUCAGCUCAGCCCAGCUCAGCCCGGCAUGGUCUCAUGGGCAUGGUCUCAUGGGCAUGGGUAUGGCGCCUGAGGGGGCGCCUGAGGGGAUGACCGACCGGUUUGCUGCUCGCCCGCAGGGGUUCCCCUGCUCGCCCGCGCGCGUGCGCCGGUGCUGACACACAGUCACCGCCGACUUACUUGCAUGUUGCACUACUCGUUCGGGGACAGAUCCAUGAGUUUUGCGCUCAUUAAAUGGGAAUUAUGCAUUACGUAGAGGAUGCUGAGCAACUGGCCGCGUGAGACACGGUGCGGGCGGUUGUUGGCGGGCCAGUCUGUCUUCUCGCGCGUACAUUAUGUCAAACAGCCCAGUAGUGGUUUCCCCCGCGUCCAGUUGGGCUUUGGUAGCAUAACUUCGCAUUAGCCACAAGGCUAUCACCUUGCUGAAUAGCUAGGAGCCACGAGCAAAGAGGUGACCCACACGCCUCGUCAAAGUAGGGAGUCGAGAGUCACUCGCGCACACGUUCUUGGCACGCGCGCCAUUGGGCGAAGUUUAUUCAUAGACCAGGAUACGUGAGCAAUCGGCGAGGAGUUUGGCGCGACGAAAGAAUUUCACAACUGGCUCGGGUAAGCCCAAGCCUGCUUUACUGUCUGAGACAUUUUGUGAGUGGUAUGCGACCGAAAAAUGCAUGUGUGCACUGUGUUCGCGGCUUCGGCGAGCGUCCCGUCAGUGAGCUGGCCACAUUUCGCGGAUGGUGUGGCGAUGCCUUUUGCCGGGACCUGUUACUCCAGCUCAUAAUACUGUACUGUUGGGUAGCAUAUACAUGGGAAACACACGACAGCGUGUGUGCACCCCUAUUAGGGUCAGCGCACGUAACUCCAUUCGCCACGUUCGCCAGCAGCCAUCCCCGCACCACCUUGCAACGGGCGCGGCACCGCACGAUUCUCGGUCCGUGUAAGAAACCCCGUUCCAUGUCCCUUCUUCCUGUCCUCGUGCCCCAGGUACCUUGCUUUCAGCGCGCUGCACGCAACCUUGUCUCCGGCGGCCUCUGGCCACGCAACCCUGCCCGCCGCCUGCCCGCCGCCAUGGUGCUCAGCCAAUCCUUGUGUGGCCGCUGCCGGACCACGCCCUUCAAUGCGCGCCCAGCCCUGGCUCUCCUAGCCAGUGUGGCCGUGCUGUGCGCGGCACUGCUGCUGGUCGGGACCCCGGCCCCUGCCUGUGCGUCGCGCGAUCUGGCGGACGUUGUCCGGAACUAUGCGGUCGCCCACGGCUUCGAUCUGGGCUCAACCACGGAGCAUCCCGAGGGCGCAUCAACAGCGGGCGAGGAAGUGACCAUUGGGGCCAUCGGCCGCAGCCUGCUGGCAAAGAAAUCGCCACCGCCCCUGCGGUCGUCGCCACCACCGAAGCCCCCUCCCUCCCCCAAGCGCUCCCCCCCUCCCCGCCCGCCGCCCCCGAGCCCGCCGUCACCCCGCCCGCCUCCUCCUCCGCUCGCCGCGGAUAGCACUGACGGUAGGUUGGGGCGCAUGUGCUCGCUACAGUUAAUGUCAAACGUGUUAGCAUGUCGAUUCCAGUGCGGCAUGGGCAUGCCAAAUGUUCCGACGCAGCUCAAGUUCGCAGUUUGUACAUCACGUGUAUAUGUGUUGCCCUGGCUGACGUGCAGAAGGCCCUGGCCCCGCUGACGGCAAUCCUAACACUCCGGGGGAUGGCAAAGUCGGACUGCCGUCUGUGCCCAAUAACGACCCGGACAACUACGGCCAGUGGCUGCUGAAGGCGGUGGGGAAUGUGGUAGCCGUGCACAUGUGCAUGGUGCCCGGCACUGAGAAGUUCUUUUUCAUGGAGCGCCCCUCCGGCCGACACCCAGACGGAAAGAACAACAUCGUCGGUUACUACGAUUACCAGACCAACAAGUUCGUCAACGUCAAUUACACGGACUCCGUUUUCUGUGCCGGGCACACCGUGACGCAGGACGGACACGUGCUUGUGGUGGGCGGUCACAUCGCCAAGUCGGGUUACGGUGACGGCUUGAAGGCGGUCCGUGUGUUCUCGCGCAAGACCCUGUCCUUCCACCGCAUCGCCAACAUGACCUACCCCCGCUGGUACCCCACCGCGACGCUGCUGCCUUCUGGUAUGGUCACGAUCAUGGGCGGCACCGUCCUGCCGGGAGCGGGCACAGGCAAGAAUCCCAUCUACGAAAUCUGGGAUCCCGCCAACCCCACGCAGCUCAUGCGUCGCAACCAGUCUGCAGCCAUGGUCGCCCGCACCAAUGACAUCUACUACCCCAACACCUACGUGCUCCCCACCGGCCAUCUUCUUUUGUCUUGCAACCGUUACGGCGAGAUUAUGGAUCCCAUGGCCGCUAAGGUCAUCACUGCGAUGCCUAGUUGGAUGGCAGUUGCCAAAGGCGUUUUCACGGAGUACCCCUUCACCGGCACAAGCGCAAUGCUCUCGCUCAAGCCUGAGAACAACUACACGCCUGAGGUUGUUUACUUUGGUGGCCAGUUCAGUUACGGCUGGAUCAACACGACCGCAUCUCGACUGGCCCUCCGUCUGAAGGUGGAAUGGGACGAGGCAGCCGGCAACUACACGUUCGGAGGUGAGGCCGGACCAUUGUGCACGGGAUGAUGUGGCCGCGAGGUAGUGAUAGCAGUAUCUAGAGCAUUCCGCAUCUGGCUUUUCCGCUGGGGAGGGUGUACUGGCGGUGUGCAGGCGAAGUGGUGGUCAGCAAUGAUGCUCAUGUUGUGCACCCUGACGCAUCCGUCAAACAUGCAUGCUGUCCGAACCUUGCGCCAUGCUUGCAGAGGGCUGGGUAGCGGAAAAGAUGCCGCUCCCGCGUGUGAUGGGUGACGCGCUCGUCCUGCCCAACGGCAAGGUCAUUGUGCUGAACGGCGCCGUCAAGGGCCUCGCGGGAGACAACGCCGCGGGAGGUGCCGCCAAGGCCAACGAGCCCGCGCUGUGGCCCGUUCUGUACGACCCGGAUGCCCCGCUGGGCUCGCGCAUGACUGUCCUGGCGCGCUCCAACAUCCCGCGUAUGUACCACUCCACCGUCUCCAUCACCACGGAUGGCUCCCUGCUGGUGGCCGGCUGCGACCGAUGCGACAAGUACUGGUGGACCUCUGCAAGCAUCUCCAAGUCCCCCACGUCUUUUGCUGAGUACCGCAUUGAGGUGUUCCGCCCUCCCAUGUGGUUCAACGUCACUGCCAAGCCCAACAUCGUGUCCAUUGAUGAGGACACCUGGGACGACGAGGACGGUGUCAACGUGAUGCAGUACGGCGCGCCCUUUGCGCUCACCUACUCCAUGUUCUACGAGAGCGACAAGGUCACGAGCGCUGUGCUGGUGGCGCCCAGCUCUACCACCCACUCCACCAACAUGAACCAGCGCGUGGUGGGUCCUGACUCGGGGCCCCUGUCCUGAAGGCUCUGGAUUUGUUUUGUAGUGCCUUCCCAGCCCUUGAUCUUGCUUAACAGAUGCUCUCUGCAAGCAACACGCGUCUGUGAAGUAGGAGCUAUUGAUUAC